rnacentral:rRNA from 1 species
UACGUAGGUGUCGAGCGUUAUCCGGAAUUACUGGGCGUAAAGGGCACGCAGGCGGCUGUUCAAGUUCGACGUGAAAUCUCCUGGCUUAACUGGGAGAAGCCGUUGGAAACUGAAUGGCUUGAGGCAAUGAGAGGGAUGCGGAAUUCCCGGUGUAGUGGUGGAAUGCGUAGAUAUCGGGAAGAACACCAGUGGCGAAAGCGGCAUCCUGGCAUUGAACUGACGCUCAUGUGCGAAAGCGUGGGUAGCGAACGGG